AACCUGGUUGAUCCUGCCAGUAGUCAUAUGCUUGUUUCAAAGACUAAGCCAUGCAUGUCUAAGUAUGAAACAACUUUAUACUGUGAAACUGCGCACAGCUCAUUAUAUCAGUUAUAAUUUAUUUGAUGGUACUUUACUACAUGGAUAACCGUAGUAAUUCUAGAGCUAAUACAUGCGUAAAAUCCCUUACCUUCGGGCUGGGAUGUAUUUAUUAGAUAAAAAACCAUUACCUUCGGGUUCCUUUGGUGAUUCAUAGUAACUUUUCGAAUCGCAUGCUUCGGCGGCGAUAGUUCAUUCAAAUUUCUGCCCUAUCAGGUUUCGAUGGUAGGAUAGAGGCCUACCAUGCCAGUAACGGGUGACGGAGA
rnacentral:rRNA from 1 species